ensembl:lncRNA
CCACUUUUCCCACCCGGUGUCACUCCGAUCUGCCGGCGCAUCGCGGAGAAAACCAAUCGGGUGUCUGGAUGCUCAAUGUUUAUACUUCUCAUCCAACCACAAUCACGUUCACUCUGUCCGCAUAGCGCCGUUUAUCUGGAGAAGCCGGAAGUAACGAGACUGUUUUUAAAAUGUAAGUAGAAGUAAAAAGUAAAAAUAAAUACUCCAGUAAAGUUUCUACUUUACUUGACACCUCUGCCUAAAAUACUUUGAGAUUUGGGGCCAGCACUUUCCCGCCCUACGCUGAGUCUCGCGACGCGCCCAUUUAGCACCAUGACAACGGCGAGCAGUGUCCCUCCGACAGGACCGGACCCGGACUCGGUACGUUCUCUCCUCAAAGAGCCGUUUGACGGAACAACUUUCGCGGAGAAACUCGAGGUGAAAGAGGUGGACCGGGAUCAGCCAGACCUCACGACCAGACAACGGACCGGUGUGAAAGGGAAGCCGAGGCUUCUACGCCGGGAGGUUUAGCUAGCUAGUUAGCUACGUGCUAACCGCCGGUCCGCAUGACGUCACCGCGCUAAAGUUAACAUCGCUGCCCAGCUGCGACGCACACAGGACCGCGGAGCGCGAAACACGGCGCGAGCGGAGAGAAAGAGGGCCGAUUCAUCCGGAGGCCGCGGGGGCACAGAGGUGGACCGGUGUGUGUCUGAGGGGUGGAGGCGCAGAGGAUCCUUAAAAGAAGCCCAUUCAGUCACGAGGGAACUCUGACGCCACGCGCAACCCAACCCAACCCAACCCCGGUAGGGCAAAUACAAAAAUAACCGGCAAUUCAUCUUAUUCCGAUGAGUCGGCGUCCUGUUUGGCCCGCCGAGGGGGUGAAAGACUGGAUCGUUGUCCGUACCUGGGACAGCCUGGGUGGUGAAGGCUGCAG